UCCAUCAUUUUCUGCGCCACAGGGAAGCUAAUGUUCCCUAGUCUUCUGUGUAACAGGUGUGCACAGUUGUCAUGCAUUGGCUUUCCUAUCGCUGGUUUUUCUUUCCUGGGUGUCCCCUGCUCACUUGAGUUACCAGUGGUGUGUGUGUGACUAACCCCCUCUACUUCCUCACUUGUAUUGUCUGGGUUGUCGGGUUUCACCUUCCGGUGGUUGUUUACUUUGGGCUGCGUGUCCCUGACUGGGUGGAGGAAUGGCAGGUCCCCACUGAUCACUGUUUUCCCAAUGCUUUUACCCCCUCUAGUUACCUGUGCCUUUCCUUCUUUGAAUGUCACCUCGACAUUGUUGUCCUUGCUUAGUUUUAGUGUGGCAAGGAUGUUAUAUGGUAUAUUUGGCACUAAUAGCACCCCCUGUAUUACCCCUACCCCUGGCACGUAUGUGUUACCUUUCCCUGUUACUUGCACAUUGUUCUGGUUAGCCACUUUUAUUAUAAAAUUUUCUUCUGUGAAUGAGGUUAGUAAGUUACAGUCAUAUGUGGUGUGGUUUGUGGCCCCUGAGUCCAGCAGCCAUGUGCCUUCCUUCCUGUCCUGGCCUUUGUGUUGUUCUUGGUCUCCUAGUCCAUACAGUGACCCAGUCUGGCUCUCCCUGGAGCUGUCCCUGUGAUUUCUUCUGUCCCUGGGGCUAGGUGAGUCUCUGCGCCUGUGUCUGUCCUCUGGCGAGCGUCUGUUAGUGUAUCUUGCCCUAUGUUCUGGUCUGUCCCUUCGGUGUGACCUGUCCCUGUCCCCUGUGUUUCUAGGGCAGUCCCUUUUGUAGUGGUUUUUUGACCCACAUAAGUAGCACUCUGUGUUACUGUGGUUCCUACUCUGUGGCUCUGUCCUUCUGCUGGGUCUUUGCUCCCUGCGGCUUAGUGAGCGGUCUUUCCUGAUGCUGUCUUCAGCUAUGAGCUUGCUUGUUAGUAAUUCCAGUGAGAGCUUCCCUGACCCUAGGUUGUCUAUCUGCGUGAUGAAGGUGUCCCAGCUGGGGUCCAGGGAAUUUACAAUAAUGCUUAUCAUGGUUCUCUCACUUAUGAUCUCCCCCCUUUGGGUCAGCUGGGCCCUGGUGGCAUUUAGAGACAAUAAAUGCUCGCUCAUUGGGGUCCCUGCUUUGAGUUUGGUGGCAUAGAACUCCCUGGAUAGUCUAGUGGUGCUUGCUACCCUUUGGCAGUAGAAUAGUUUGUGCAUCCUCUGUAUUACCUCUAGAGCAGUCAGGUGGUGGCUAAUGCUAGGAUAAAUGCUGGGGGUAAUGCUGGCAAUAACAAUACAGUAUGCUUUAUGGUGGGUGCAAUCUAGUUCAAAAAUCCAGGGUUUUUCUGGGGGGUCAGUGACUAGGGAUAAUAGGUCUUCCUUCAGUAGGGUGACUUGGAGCUGCUGGUUCCAGUCCAGGAAAUUCUCCCCAUCUAGUCUUAGUUUGGGAAAGUCACUUGGCAAAUUCCCUGAAUUGUAAGUUAAAUUACUUACAUUGUGUCGCUGUCCAUGGUUCCUCACGUAAGGAUACUCGCAAUAAGGCAGAGGAACGACUGUGGCAAGUCUGAACUGACUUGCUUCUAUGUGCUUGCGUCGGUAUAGCUCUUUGUCUUGCUCCGUUUCUCUUGCAGGGAGGCAUUGCGCAUGCGUGAGGUUCAUUCCUGCCCAGCCACCAUGGAGUGAGGAGCUCGUCUCUGCAGCUCCCGGGUGAAGGCCCCAAUCUUCCGGAUGGGCCUUUGGUUCUUCCUUGGUCGGCCUUACUUGGUCGAAGUCGUCGCGGAUCACUGUCUGGAGCCUCGGGAAGCGGUAAGGAUCGCCGGGGAAGGUCGGAAGUCUCGUUGGGGCCGCGAAUGGUCCCGGAUGGCCCGGCCUCGCGUGGAUGUCGCCUCCGGGUGUCGGGCCGAGUCCCCUGCCUGCCGAUGGACGUCCCCUGCCUGCGGAUGGCCCCGUGGGCCCUGGAUCUGGUCCCGGUCGUUGGUCUGGUACAAGGCUGGAACUGCUGCAGGACCGCAUGGCUGACCCUUAAGUACCCUCUGGGCGUGGCUAAGUGGGAAUCUGAUGUCCAGAGGCCGAUGAGCCCAGGAGCAGCGUGCUGAAGACCAGCUGGCCAGCGGGGAGGCAGGGCAUCACAACACCGGCAGCUCUGCAGGAAAAGCAACUGACAUCUGGGAGG